UGACCACCAAGGUCUGUGAUGUAUCUGGAUAACAGUGUCUGUCACUGACAGCUGUGCAGCACCUGACUGGAACAAUGCAGGUGCGAACACCCCCUGACUGGACAGUAUAUGUGUGACUACCCUCUGACUGGAACAAUGCAGGUGUGAACACCCCCUGACUGGACAGUAUAUGUGUGACUACCCUCUGACUGAAACAAUGCAGGUGUGAACACCCCCUGACUGGACAGUAUAUGUGUGACUACCCUCUGACUGGAACAAUGCAGGUGUGAACACCCCCUGACUGGACAGUAUAUGUGUG